AAAUAAAGCGCCGAACGUCCACCCAAAAAAGAAACAGAAAGAAAAGACGAAAGAUUCUGUCCAGGAUGAAAAUGAAGUGGACGCAAAAAUAAACGUCGAGUGGUGUGUCUGUCUGUCUGUCUGUGUGACGGCAUUCCAUGCAUUCGUUUUCUUUUCUGUUCUCUUCUUUUCCUUUUGGCCUUAGUCAGAGCUCAGAAGGAAGGAUGAAGAACAGA
rnacentral:ribozyme from 11 species